UUUUAUUAGUAUAAAUAAUAUUACAUCUAGUUUCCACCUAGAAAAUCUAAUUGAUAAAAUAA
rnacentral:tRNA from 1 species